rnacentral:rRNA from 1 species
GGAAUAUUGGACAAUGGGCGCAAGCCUGAUCCAGCCAUACCGCGUGGGUGAAGAAGGCCUUCGGGUUGUAAAGCCCUUUUGUUGGGAAAGAAAAGCAGUCGAUUAAUACUCGGUUGUUCUGACGGUACCCAAAGAAUAAGCACCGGCUAACUUCGUGCCAGCAGCCGCGGUAAUACGAAGGGUGCAAGCGUUACUCGGAAUUACUGGGCGUAAAGCGUGCGUAGGUGGUUGUUUAAGUCUGUUGUGAAAGCCCUGGGCUCAACCUGGGAAUUGCAGUGGAUACUGGGCGACUAGAGUGUGGUAGAGGGUAGUGGAAUUCCCGGUGUAGCAGUGAAAUGCGUAGAGAUCGGGAGGAACAUCCAUGGCGAAGGCAGCUACCUGGACCAACACUGACACUGAGGCACGAAAGCGUGGGGAGCAAACAGGAUUAGAUACCCCUG